CAUUUGGCCAAAAAUGAAAGAUUUAAAAUCCAGUGGGUUUAGAGAGAAUUUAGGAAGUGCAGUCGAGUGUGAGAAUGAAGAAAUAGAACGUGUGUGUGAGGGUGUUAACACCCACCCGGGGUCGUUACAGAGUGAGUUUGGGACUCCAGAUUGUGCAGAAGGCUUCAACCCAUAGCCAAUCCUUUGUAAAUUUCUGGAACUUGCAGACCUGACAGCUUCCAGGCAUGUUGCAGAACACUUUUCCAGCCUCAAACCUGACCUUUUUUCGUGCGUUUGAACUCAAAUUCGUGUCUUCAUUGAGGUAAGAUAAAGUGUAAUCUAGUUUAUGCAAGUAUGGUCUUUUAGCAUGCAUAUUGACGGUAAUUCUCGUUCAAAUGGAUGUUGUGUAGUGUUUUAACCCAACAUGAAGCGCGCCCGUGUCAUAACUAUUUUUCCUUGGUUAAAUUAUGUA